AGCAGAGAUGCUUUGGUGCCUUCGGGAACUCUGAGACAGGUGCUGCAUGGCUGUCGUCAGCUCGUGUUGUGAAAUGUUGGGUUAAGUCCCGCAACGAGCGCAACCCUUUAUCCUUUGUUGCCAGCGAUUCGGUCGGGAACUCAAAGGAGACUGCCGGUGAUAAACCGGAGGAAGGUGGGGAUGACGUCAAGUCAUCAUGGCCCUUACGGCCAGGGCUACACACGUGCUACAAUGGCGCAUACAAAGAGAAGCGACCUCGCGAGAGCAAGCGGACCUCAUAAAGUGCGUCGUAGUCCGGAUUGGAGUCUGCAACUCGACUCCAUGAAGUCGGAAUCGCUAGUAAUCGUAGAUCAGAAUGCUACGGUGAAUACGUUCCCGGGCCUUGUACACACCGCCCGUCACACCAUGGGAGUGGGUUGCAAAAGAAGUAGGUAGCUUAACCUUCGGGAGGGCGCUUACCACUUUGUGAUUCAUGACUGGGGUGAAGUCGUAACAAGGUAGGCGUAGAUGA
rnacentral:rRNA from 1 species